GCGAUGGUGCUGCUGAACAGCUUGGCGGGGAUUGAGGAGGGAAAGGAGGCGAUCGUGAAGGAAGGUGGUACUGCUGCGCUUGUGGAAGCAAUCGAAGAUGGCAUUUGCUGAAAAAAGCUCCAUAUUAAGCCAAGGCUACAAAAGGCAAAGCUGAGUUUGAAAAACUGAUAAAAAACAGUCGUUGCAGGCAACCUCUGCAGAUGAUGAUGAGUCAGACAAGUCCAAAUCUGAGGUCAAUGAUGAAGAUGAUGAAGCCAGUGCAGAGGUAUAUAUUCUCCGCUCUUUCUUGAACUGAGCAUGAUAAGGAGGUUGCACUUAAUGAAUACUAUUUUUCAUUUCUGCAAACUUUUGUUUCAAGAUUUUAGUUUUUGAGGGUGAACAUGAGAAAUAGGAAGAAGUUUUGGUGAGGGAGUAAAUGUAGUGAAUUUAGCUUGUAUUUCUUUUCAUGAUGCAGCAUUCGUUUCUCUCUUUCCAAGAAACUAAAUGUGACUAAUAAUAAUUGGAUUCAUGGUCAACGGAGUUUGAAUAGUUUUUCAAACACACUCUUAAUUUAAUUAUUACAAGCUAUGGACCCUUUUGACUUACCAGGAGAAGUUUGUAAAAUAUGGACUUCAAAACGUGGAUGGUACCUUUUGAUUUACAUACUAAGGUCUUUAUAAUGGUUUAGCUUCUCAAUAAACUGAGAUUCAGGGUUCCUUAUUGUACAGGGGCACAUAGCAUAAACGGUAGUGCUGCCUUCUUUGAUUCUUUUACCGAGGGAAAAAAAUGAUUUGUAUUAUUUUGAUGUUAG